GAUGAACGCUGGCGGCGUGCCUAAUACAUGCAAGUCGAGCGAACAGACGAGGAUCUUGCUCCUCUGACGUUAGCGGCGGACGGGUGAGUAACACGUGGAUAACCUACCUAUAUGACUGGGAUAACUUCGGGAAACCGGAGCUAAUACCGGAUAAUAUAUUGAACCGCAUGGUUCAAUAGUGAAAGACGGUUUUGCUGUCACUUAUAGACGUAUCCGCGUCGCAUUAGCUAGUUGGUAAGGUAACGGCUUACCAAGGCAACGAUGCGUAGCCGACCUGAGAGGGUGAUCGGCCACACUGGAACUGAGACACGGUCCAGACUCCUACGGGAGGCAGCAGUAGGGAAUCUGCCGCAAUGGGCGAAAGCCUGACGGAGCAACGCGGCGUGAGUGAUGAAGGUCUUCGGAUCGUAAAACUCUGUUAUUAGGGAAGAACAAAUGUGUAAGUAACUAUGCACGUCUUGACGGUACCUAAUCAGAAAGCCACGGCUAACUACGUG
rnacentral:rRNA from 1 species